ACAGAUAUUUGGAUUUUAUUUUGGCAGACAGUUUAGCUACUUUUAGACCAACUUGAUUCUUUUGAGGUUUGUUUUUAGCACAGGUCUGCAGUAGCCUCAGUCUAGCCCUAAUACUUCUGGGGUCUUUUCUGAAUGCCCUGCUUGUUCUGAGAUUUCUACACCACAAUUGAAAGUGAAUUCAAAAAAGCUGGAGAGGAGACGCAUCAGGUCAGAAGGGAUUUGCUGCUCUGAACUGCCAGUUACACUGCACAAAAGACUGGGGAAGUGUUAGAGGAAGAUUACGACACUGCUACUCCAUGCCAAAACGUUACACUACGGCUCUGCAGACUGAAGAUUGCCUCACAAGCAGAAAUAUACUCUUUCCAACAAACACUGGUGGAAUGAAAAGGACAUUGGAUUCCUGCUUCCAGUUACUGCUUGCCCUUCCCUGACUUUGUGACCUGAGGCAAGUCCCCAAAUCCCUCUGGGCCCCAGUAUCCUCAUUUUUCAAAUGGAGGAGGGUUAGAAUUAAGAUGCAAUCAUGCAUCCAGUUGUUUUCCAAAGCAUUGUCCAGCUAGGGAAGUGGUAGCACGUGGUGACUGAGAGCUUCCCCGAUCCUUUUAGAUCAAAGAACACUUCUAUGCCUUUGUGCAACUGGUGUGCUGUGGGUACAGGUACUUUUACAUCCUCUAGUUAGUGAGUGCAAAGUACUCUUGGAAGCUCCCAAGCACUCAAGGUUUCAAUCUGCAUUCUUCUCCUCUAUAUGCACUUUAUAUUUCAGGUUUUAUAGUUUGAGGAUUUGAAAGGUAAGAAAAGUGUGAGCUACAGAUUUUGGAAGAAUCCAGGAGCUGAGCUCAUAGCUAAGAACAUGUCAGGGGUGUUAAGCAGCUCUGAAGUAUGUAACAAAGGCCAUUUAGGUCUCAGGAGGCUGCCACCAGAACACUACCCGCCCCUCUAGCCCAUGCCAGCCAGGUGGGGGACAGGUGGAAAGAUGGAGAUGUGGACAGCAUCAGAGAUUUUUCAGCUUUCAUAUGCCACAUACUCAUGCUAUGUUUAUGCACACACACACAUACACAUGCACACACACGAUUUAAAUAAAGGUUUUCACUGAAAA
ensembl:lncRNA novel transcript